GACGAACGCUGGCGGCGUGCCUAAUACAUGCAAGUGGGACGCAAGGAAACACACUGUGCUUGCACACCGUGUUUUCUUGAGUCGCGAACGGGUGAGUAACGCGUAGGUAACCUGCCUAUUAGCGGGGGAUAACUAUUGGAAACGAUAGCUAAUACCGCAUAAUAUUAAUUAUUGCAUGAUAAUUGAUUGAAAGAUGCAAGCGCAUCACUAGUAGAUGGACCUGCGUUGUAUUAGCUAGUUGGUAAGGUAAGAGCUUACCAAGGCGACGAUACAUAGCCGACCUGGGAGGGUGAUCGGCCACACUGGGACUGAGACACGGCCCAGACUCCUACGGGAGGCAGCCGUAGGGAAUCUUCGGAAAUGGGCGAAAGUCUGACCGAGCAACGCCGCGUGAGUGAAGAAGGGUUUCGGGUCGUAAAGCUCGGUUGUAAGUCAAGAACGUGUGUGAGAGUGGAAAGUUCACACAGUGACGGUAGCUUACCAGAAAGGGACGGCUAACUACGUG
rnacentral:rRNA from 1 species